AUACGUAGGGUGCGAGCGUUGUCCGGAAUUACUGGGCGUAAAGAGCUCGUAGGUGGUUUGUCGCGUCGUCUGUGAAAUUCCGGGGCUUAACUCCGGGCGUGCAGGCGAUACGGGCAUAACUUGAGUACUGCAGGGGAGACUGGAAUUCCUGGUGUAGCGGUGAAAUGCGCAGAUAUCAGGAGGAACACCGGUGGCGAAGGCGGGUCUCUGGGCAGUAACUGACGCUGAGGAGCGAAAGCAUGGGUAGCGAACAGGAUUAGAUACCCUGGUAGUCCAUGCCGUAAACGGUGGGCGCUAGGUGUAGGGGUCUUCCACGACUUCUGUGCCGUAGCUAACGCAUUAAGCGCCCCGCCUGGGGAGUACGGCCGCAAGGCUAAAACUCAAAUGAAUUGACGGGG
rnacentral:rRNA from 1 species